UGUUCCAGUGCUUCCUAUAAAUAGAGGAGGCGCUGGUGUUUCGCGACGUCCUUUAGCGCGUGGUCUGGCGUGGUUCUGCUCGUGCGCUCGCGAGUGCAUUCGGAUUUUGGUUAAGAACGCAGUAGGCCUACGACUGCGACUGUCAGGUUAGUACAGGCCGGUACUCGACGUCAACAUAGAGAUACGCCGAUAUUUUCCGCGGACAACACGCUCUGUUCGAACGCUGAGCCGAGUAGCACGGCCGACCCCGCUGAGUCGAACUCCGGUGCCAUGGAUCUCACGAGCGUCUUGGCUGCCCUGGAUCCCAUUAUGGUGAAACACUGCGGAGCGGGCCAUUGUACGGCGUUUUACAAGGUCAUUAAGGAUGGCCGAGAGCUCUGGAGGGCUCAAGUUCCUGUGCUGUGGCCCCACGAAAUGUCUGUCGAUGCCUUGGCGCUGUCCAAGAGAGAGUCGCUGUUGAUGGCAAGGGCCCGCGUGUGCUCAACUCUGCAGGAGCUGGGAAUCUUAGAUUCUAAAAUUUUUGAACAGGAGCCACCACAUGAAGCCGCAGGCGAACUUUGUCCUUCCAGAGCCAGUUCCAACGACGUCGUCACACUGCCCGGUACCCCAGGCCAAGUGGGCACCUUAGUGUCUCCAGAACCACCUGCUGACCAGCUGCCUGCCACGCAGACACAGAAGAUGGUGAGAAGAAACCUUGCGGAACCUAGCCAGAGACUGAAAUCGUGGACCAAGAAGAGGAAAAGACACAGCGCAACAAAGACAGGGACACGAGAGAGCGACACGCACACUGCGCUGACUUGCAACAGUUUAUUCAUGAGGACAUAAAGGAAUAAAUAUAUAUGGCACUACCAAGCGCAACAUGUGAAAACUUAGCAAAACACUGGAGCAUCAUUUCCAAUGAUCAUAAUGAUAGCCACGUGCUGACAAUGCACACUGGCUGUUUUUAAUUCAAAUGUUGUUUAGAUAUGCGAAUUCCCAAGAUAAAAGUGCAAUCAAAGGGGAACUGACACACGAGCUAUCAAAUUUACUGAUAAAAUCUGCCUCAAUGAUUUCACGCGUGAGCUGUAAAUUAUGUCUAGCCAGCAUUUCGCUUUGUUAAAGCAGGGCGUACACCCGUGAUCACGGCAAUGAAUGCCCAGAUGACCCUGUACUAUGUUGUACACACUUUUAUGGUGCUCUCUGAGACGAUCAUUUAUACAGCUGCCGGUCUGUCCCAUGUACUUUUUCCACAGGAAAGAGGAAUCAUAUACACCACGCCAGUGGUGCUGGACACUAAACCAUUCCCGUGUUUCACAGUACAACGACCACGCCUGGUUUGUGAACCAAACUUACAAAGUUUUGAUAGUCCACCGCAACACCAGCGUGUUGCCCUACCCUCUUCAGAUUGUGAGAGAGGUCAUGUAUAUACGGAAGUAUUGCAAGUUUUUUUUUUUCCACUGGCGGACGUGGUGCUCGAUUGUUUUCACCCCGCUUGAUUUGCUUAAAAAGCUUUUCCGCGAUGGCUGAUAUUAAAGCCUUCGUGUAUCCGGCAGAUAACAAGCGGUCAACCUGCACAUCAAAACUUCUUUGCAUUGAAUAUGGACAUGACUUUCUGAAGGCAUUGACGAGGCACACAUUAAAGAUUCCUCUUUUCCGGUUUUUAAGCAAAUCAAGCGGGGUGAAAACAAUCGAGCACCACGUCCGCCAGUGAAAAAAAAAAGCUUGCAGUAUUCCAUACAUACAUGAUGUGUCCCACAAACUGAAGAGGGUAGGGCAACGCACUGGUGUUGCGGUGGUUUUUUCUGCUCCAGAAAAGCUAUCGAAACUUUGCAAGUUUGGUUCGCAAACCAGGCAUGGUCAUUGUACUGUGAAACACAGGAAUGGCUUAGUGUCCUGCCCCACUGACGUGGUGUAUAUGAUUCCUCUCUCCUGUGGAAAAAAGUAUGUGGGACAGACCGGCAGGUGCAUAAAUGAUCGUCUCAGGGAGCAAUAUGACAAUGUGUACAACACGGUACAGGGUCUUCGGGGCAUUCAUUGCCGUGAUCACGGGUGUAAGCCCUACUUUGACAAAAGUGAAAUGCUGGCUAGACCUAACUUACAGCUUACACGUGAAAUCAUUGAGACAGAUUUCAUCAAGAAAUUUGAUAGCUCGUGUGUCAAUUCACCUUCGAUUGCACUUUCAUCUCGGGAAUUCGCAUAUCUAAACAACAUUUGAAUGACAAACAGCCAGUGUGCAUUGUCAGCACAUGGCUAUCAUUAUCACCAUUGGAAAUGAUGCUCCAGUGUUUUGCUAAGUUUUCACAUGUUGGCUCAUGGUAGUGCCAUAUACAUUUAUUCCUUCAUGUCCUCAUGAAUAAACUGUUGCAAGUCAGCGCUGCGUGCGUGUCGCUCUCUCGUGUCCCUGUCUUUGUUACGCUGUGUUUUUUCCCAAUGAAUCACCAAGCCCAAGUUGAGCCAAGUCAAUAGUGCACAACAUUUACGCCAUUGUUGAUGUGCAAUUUGAAAGAUAAUAGGAGCCUGAUGGCGUCCUACAACUCAAAUGUCAAACAGGGCAAAGUUUGUCACUGGACAUCUAUGGUCACGUGAAGUUGCGAUUCAAAGAGGUAUUUGAAGGCAGUGCCAGGAACAACUGCAGCUCUUGUGCAGCAGCUUGUGGAAAAAGGCCACGUAGACAAACAUUUAACCCCAAAGACUGCUUCGGUCCAGGAGGUGCGACGCCAGAACCACCACUGGAUUGCUCCGGCAAAGUUUCUCUCUGGACAUCGACGGUCUCCUGAAGUUGCAAUUCAAAGAGGUAUUUGAAGGCAGUGCCAGGAACAACUGCAGCUCUUGUGCAGCAGCUUGUGGAAAAAGGCCACGUAGACAAACACUUAAGCCCAAAGACUGUUUGGGACCAGGAGGUGCGAUACCAGAAGAACCACUUGAUUGCUCCGGUAUGUAUGAAGCUGCCAGAAACCUCCACUGCCGGUAUGCAGGACAUACUCGUAGAGUUUGCGGCAAGUGCCGAUUGCAGUUCAGAACAAUACGUACUGCAUUUUUGUGCAUAUAACCCGCAUGCAAAAUACUGAAAGUUCAACCGUAUAGUCGGGGUGCAAGGUCAUUUGUAAAUUUUGCCAUGAGGUGCGGCGUCAUGGCAGCGUACACCAUGCUCCUGCGAAGCCAAAACUCGAGGCGGAGUUUGCCACCAUUCUGUUUCCUUAUCUCCUUGGGAACCCCACCUUUUCCCGACCCCUGCAUGCAAAGCUCCAUUUUCUGAUCUUUCAUGGUCGCCCAUUCUCCUCUUUUCAGGUCACCUUUUUGUUUCGGCCUCGUUAGUGGUUUGCAAAUAGGGCAUUGGUGAAUCAGAAGUCGGAUCGCAAUGAGCUGAGCCCAGUGGCGGUCCUCUAGACUGCAAUAUAAGCUGAAGAUUAUGAGCUUUGUCGAAUGGAGACUGUUUUUACAAAGACUUAAGCGUUGAUGUAUGCAGUUGUUGGUGCAUGUUAUACGCGUGAAUUGGAUUGGACUGGACAAACUUUACUUAGGUCCUGCAGGCCACGCUUAGGGCGUAGCGGGCAUCUCCCAUGUAGGGACUGACAGGGAAUACCUGGCGGCCGCUUCGUGGGCCUGCUGAAUGCCCCAUUGCUGGUCGGCGAGAAGUGAGCUUCUGAGGGACUCCUCUCACUUGUUCGAGGUUGAGUCAGGAUGAGCAUUUCUACACUCCCAGAGCAUGUGUGCGAGUGUCGCCGUGUAUCCACACGAGGGGCACAUGUCGCUGGGGUAUGAGUCAGGAUAGAGAACAUCCCCGCAGGGGCGUCUGCAUCAGCAGGCAUUUGGUGUGUUGCGACACCAC